GCGGGACAACAGCGUCCGUCCCAAACUGGACCAAACGUGAUGCCAUCCCAACGGUGUCUACACGACGCAUGGCCGCCCUGACUCUAUCAUACUGCACCCUCAGUCCUCAGGCUUGCAGAAGAGCCUUCACCAUUCGCGUAACUGGAUUGGCUGUGGAGCGUUUUCUCCCAUGACCGCCAUGGAGAUGUCACGUGACUUAGAAACCGUAACAGGAUUGGCUGGCUGCUGGGUGUUGAGUUCUGAAAUCCUUUGCAAAUGUCUGUUCGUCUUUUCAGAGCGACAGUGAAUUUUUACAACGAAACUGAAUUUUAACAACGGAGUUGAAUUUCAGACAGCGAAUUAUUCAAUUUAACAUUUCAAAUUCAAAUCCUAUUUCAAUUUCAAAUCCACGUAACAUUUCAAUUUCAUUUGAAUUUCAAAUCCUAUUUCAAAUUCAAAUCCCGGUGGCACUUGUCUACUUCCACAGAAGUAAUUAAAGAAUUCACCCACAUAACAUUACUCCGUCAAUAUCAUGGCAAAGAAAAAAAUGACCGUUGAUAAUUGUUGUGGAAAAUCCUUUCUCGCAAUCUGUCUUCACGGAGAUGAUUUAUUUUUAUUUCCUAAAUUUUAUCCAUCUAAUAUCCCCGUGGAUUAAUUAAUACCCAAAGAAGAAGCACCAAAUUGAAAAAAAAAUGGUGACCCCAGAUAUUAAAUUCUCAUAAAAGGUAUAAUCGGGGCAGACAGCGCUAAGUAGUACUGUCUCCGGAGCAGAAGGUGGCGGUAAUGCACCAUUAAGAUGGAUUAUCAACCGCCAGCAACGGAACGAAGACCAAAGGUUUCCAAAUUCGGUUAAAUAGUUUGCCCAAUACGUCUUGAUCCCAUUUCGAGUUUUGCACUCCUUCACGGCAGAACCGAGUCCAGUUGUUACUGUAUUAUUUUUGUAACAGCAUUCUCAGUGUUUCACGCUGGAAAUCCAAGCGAAGUAUUUCGACGAGUCGUGAGUUGAGGGCUCACAUUUUUCCACAAGUUUUGGAAUACCUUCGUCGUUUAUGACCCGCCGACGCUAUGACUUUACAAUUCCCAGGAGCGAGAAUGG